CCCGCUGAACUUAAGCAUAUCAAUAAGCGGAGGAAAAGAAACCAACAGGGAUUGCCUUAGUAACGGCGAGUGAAGCGGCAAAAGCUCAAAUUUGAAAUCUGGUUUCCAGUUUUGGAGCCCGAGUUGUAAUUUGCAGAGGAUGCUUUGGGUGCGGCUGCGGUUUAAGUCCUUUGGAACGGGGCAUCAUAGAGGGUGAGAAUCCCGUCUGGGACCGCCAGCCCUGCCCAUGUAAAGCACCUUCGACGAGUCGAGUUGUUUGGGAAUGCAGCUCUAAAUGGGUGGUAAAUUUCAUCUAAAGCUAAAUACCGGCCAGAGACCGAUAGCGCACAAGUAGAGUAAUCGAAAGAUGAAAAGCACUUUGAAAAGAGAGUUAAAAAGCAUGUGAAAUUGUUGAAAGGGAAGCGCUUGCGACCAGACUCGGCCGCGGAGGCUCAGCCGACCAUGCUUUGGCGGUGCACUCCUUCGUGGUCGGGCCAGCGUCGGUUCCGACGGUUGGUUAAAGACCCCCGGAAUGUGUCGCCUUUCGGGGCGUCUUAUAGCCGGGGGUGUAAUGCAACCUGUCGGGACCGAGGAACGCGCUCCGGCACGGACGCUGGCAUAAUGGUCGUAAGCGACCCGUCUUGAAACACGG
rnacentral:rRNA from 1 species